ACAUGACAUAAGUCAACCUAGGUUAAUGCUGUUAUUAAUCAUUCUACAUUCCAAGGUCAGUGGCUGGAUAGAAUGGUUUUAAAAUGGCUUACAUGACUUGAGAGGCCGCUAUGUGGGGAGAGAGCUACAUGCUGGCAAUGUCAAGUGCCCAGAGUGUGGGAAAACUACAGAUGCAUGGCAAUGAAAGCAUACGGCACACACUAAUGUCACGUGGAGCUGUGUGUUUCCCCUCUGCAAUAUGAUUGGCUAUUAACCUGUUGUCGUCAUCUGAUCGGCUCUUGUCAGAAGUUAGCAUUUCUUGUAAAGAAGAUGGGGUCACCCUAAACAAUGUGGAUUAUAUUCUACAAAACAACUUCAAAAGUCUUCAUUUUGAAGGAAAAUUGAGAUCAAACACGUAGCUAGGUACCCACCAGCCGCAGGAUGUUGUUAUAAACCAAACCGCUGGUAAAAACAAUAAUCAGAUUUAGGGUGGAGUGGUUAUCCAGAAAAAAAUGCUAGCUUAACGUUAGAGAAUACGCCUUUUUGCUUCCGGCGUGUGUUAUUCGGAGAAGAUGGUACCCCUGGUCAACAACAGGCUUUCAAGAUCGCAGGACAACGCGGGAAAUGGGGCUAAAUCAUAGCAAACGUUACCCAACUUGACAGCGCAUGGAUCCUGACAUCCGGCAUGAUACCACGGCGAUUAUCUCCUGUGAUCUUUAAUAACAUCCCAGAGAGGAAGACAGAGUGCAAUAAGCUGCAUCUGCUGUAACUGGCCCUGGCAGAACAAGCACAAAGGAGCGAGGAGAAUAGAGAGGGGGAAGGGCAGAG